UACAGAGGUCUCAAGCGUUGUUCGGAUUCAUUGGGCGUAAAGCGCACGUAGGCGGCCUAGCAAGUCGGGUGUGAAAUCCCUCGGCUUAACCGAGGAAGUGCAUUCGAUACUACUGGGCUUAAAUACUCAAGAGGGUCUCGGAAUUCCCGGUGUAGAGGUGAAAUUCGUAGAUAUCGGGAGGAACACCAGUGGCGAAGGCGGAGACCUGGGGAGAUAUUGACGCUGAGGUGCGAAAGCGUGGGGAGCAAACAGG
rnacentral:rRNA from 1 species